UGUUUUUUAUUGAUAUUUUUAUUUCCAAAGACUAGUUGUUUUUGCCAUUACUAUUUUUUUGCACUCCCUUCACCCAUGAUGCUGAGUCUAAAAAAACAAUAAUUGUAAAAAUUACCUGCUGAGCUAUGCAAUAUAAUCUGCUAUAUUAACUGCACAAGGUUUAGCAGUGCUAAAAGUGCCAAAGAAAAACAGUCCCUGGAAAUGGCUUUGAAUUCAUAGACAUAGAGAGGAUACAAGAUGCCUCAUUCAGAGAUGAGUUGUUGAUCUGACUCAUUAAUUAGAAUUUGCAUUAGUUGAUUAAAUGUUCCAGUGAAAACAAGGUAAGUGAAACUGCAUAAAGCACAACCUAUCACACUAUUCCACUGCUGUUGUUCUUACAUUUAAUCAGUGACAGAAUUAAACCUAUUAAGCAUUUAAUUCUUCUAGUGAUCCCGAAGCAAGAAAAGAAUAUUUCCAGUGCUCUCUUGGCUGCUUGCGAGUUGCAAUUAAUCUAAUUUGAUCUCAGUAUUUGCUGCUGUUUUGAGGCUUUACAUUAUUUUCUCACCCCUUUGGUUCAUGGUCAAUAAAAUUAAUGCUGUUUUCUCUCUCACUCUUCUCCUGCAGAGUUCUGCACGGCACCAGCCUUGAACUGUUUUCCCUUUUCUGACUCUAAUGUCCUCUAUUCCUGGCUGAAGUCUUGAUAAUGCCUCAUGUCAUCAAUAAGAUUCCAUAUUGGAGGAAAAUGAUGGUGGUCAGCAGGACAAUCCUGAGGAAGAAUUCCUUGAAUGUGGACAUGAAGGUCUUCAGGCAAUAAUGUGUGAUGGUGUGAGAGUAAACAAGCUUCAGUUACAAUACGAAGAGCCUCAGCUUUUCAUUGUUUGACAGAGUGAUUCCUGGAUUCCUUAAACUGAGAAGCAGUGGAAAAAGAAUUAGCCUUUAUAUUCUGCAGAGUUUUUGGAAGACAUUCUUUAGUUUGUUGGCUUCCUAUACAGGGUCUCAUAAGGGUCUUAUGUCAUUUCUAAACUCCUUUAUAGUGCAAAAAUGAGCUACUUACUAAUUAAUUAAUAAAACUCUAUCUGCUUCUAUCUACAAGAAAGAUGUUCUUUCCAUUGUUCUUUAAAAAACAUUUUCAUUCAGUCUGAACUGAAAUUGUUUAAUUCUGGUUUUUGUGAGAUGAAAAUGGUUGGAAUAUGUUCCACAUGUAUUCAGAUAAAUUAAAAUAUAGCUUAAAUAUAUAUUUUCCUUUCUAUACUAGAAUUAUGCUUCUAUAUUUUCUUAAAUUGUGUGUGUUUUUUUGCCCGAAUCCUUUUAAAAUCUAAAGAAAAUUCAAAGCUGAAAGUGCA